rnacentral:rRNA from 1 species
UGGGGAAUUUUCCGCAAUGGGCGAAAGCCUGACGGAGCAAUACAGCGUGAGGGAGGAAUGCCUUUGGGUUGUAAACCUCUUUUCUCAGGGAAGAAGAUCUGACGGUACCUGAGGAAUAAGUAUCGGCUAACUCCGUGCCAGCAGCCGCGGUAAUACGGAGGAUGCAAGCGUUAUCCGGAAUCAUUGGGCGUAAAGCGUCCGCAGGUGGUUUCCAAAGUCUGCUGUUAAAGACUGGAGCUCAACUCCGGAACGGCGGUGGAAACUUGGAAACUAGAGUUCGGUAGGGGUAGCAGGAAUUCCCAGUGUAGCGGUGAAAUGCGUAGAUAUUGGGAAGAACAUCGGUGGCGAAGGCGUGCUACUGGACCGUAACUGACACUCAGGGACGAAAGCUAGGGGAGCGCAAGGGAUUAGAUACCCCUGUAGUCCUAGCUGUAAACGANGGAAACUAGGUGUGGCUU